GCGGACUUUUAUGUUUUAAAAAAGGAUCUUAAUCUUUAACAGAAAGGUCGACCUCCUUAGAAAUCCUUUCCAUAAUGUUGUCAGACACUUAGAAUAUUAAUCUGAGUCUGUUAGCAGCAAAACAAGCACUUUUACGAACGUAAAUACAAGCUGGACAAUUAUCCUAUUAACGUACAUUGUAGCUUGUUUCUGCUGACUGGAGCGAUCUCGUUUAAUAUCAAUGUCAAGCUGUCCUGUGAUGUGUGCCGUGCGAGCUUGGUCAGAGAUGCUGUACCAUCUUCACAAUAAAAAUAUAUCUUGUUUUAUCGUUUACUCCAUGUUAGUAAUUUAACAAAGACAAUAUACUUUAGCUGUUAGCUCAAGUUAGCAACAGCAAUUGCUAGCGCCGUUUACAUUGAGAACAAUGGGCACCUAAUGACGGACAUUAGCAUAUAAGCUAGCGGAGCAUUACAAACUCACCAGUACAAAAAGACAGCUCAAUAGCUUGAACCUGCCUUCUUCAGUCUCUCUCCAGUGUUUCUCAAUAUUUAAUUUACGUCAACAGUCACACAACUUAACAUUAGCCUUAAAAUGUAUAAGUAUCUGCUGCUACGAUGAUUCAGCUUUUCUGGAGUCACUUCCGGUCUCACUCAAUAGCGCGAACCAUAGACAUAUAAAGAGUAGACGCUGCAUUGGCAGCUCAGCGCGAGAAAUUCAACCGCCAUCUUGGACCGGUCAUACUCGUUGCUUAGCAGCAGAAGAUUCAAGAUGCCAGAGCACUGUGCAGCAUAUUCCUGUUCAAAUCGGCGGACCAUUGAAAACAGGGCUCGGGGGAUUACUUUUCACAAUUUGAAAACCUAACCGUUACAGCCCCCCACCAGUAGGGGGCCGCUGCUCUGAGCAGACCGAUUCCCCCGUUAGAAGAAGAAAAAGCGACGGGACCAGGACCACGCGGCUCAGCUCACGGAGAGAUGAAUCCGGGUGGAGACAUUUGAGGAGAAGAUGGAUUAGCUGCUCAUGCUCUAAAGGAGCUCCAUGGCACCUCCCUCUGCUCCAAAUCACAGCGUGCCAUUUGCCCAACAGCAGCUGGGACAAAUAUCCAGUUUAAAAAAUAUGGCUGUGUACAGAUUCCUACGCCAAAGCUGUGGACCGGUGUCGGCGGCUGAGGGAUACUUCCAGCAUCCAGACAGAAGAUGAAGCAAGUGUCCAAAAAAGGCAGCGCCGACGCCCAAGGAGGUUCAUGACAGAUUCUUCAAGCGAUGAUGAAUCUGUUGCACGACCAGAUAAACUGUCCAGGAUGGAGCGUGCGUCUGGAAGCCCUGUCUCUCAGCAGAUAAUACUUCCUCCACCACCUGCAUUUAAGUUUUUUAAUAUAUAUUUUGUCUAAUAUAAAAGAAUAGGUUCAUAGAUUCAUGUGCAGGCA